GCCUCAGCUUUUACUGCCAGCAGAUUUCGUCUGCAAUUUACCAAGAAAACAAAGUCAUCACACAGAACUUGGUUUUGUCCCAUUUACAAACAUGUCUGCAUCUGCACCUAAUCCUUUCAUUUCUCCUCUGUCCCAGAAGGUGAGCUGUUCACGCCUGUGCCCAGAGCCAUACCCCUUCUACCUAUGCAAUAACUUGGCUCCAUUAAUCACUCAUUCUUUCCCUUUCUGGCAGGGGAGCCAAGACUGGCAUUAAGCAUUCCCUUCCCUUCCUCUCCAUGGAAACAAAGGAGAAUUCUUGCCUAAGUUUGAGUUCUUUUUUGGUAUCUUGUCUCAAAAUUUCUCUGGUGUAACUAAGAGAUUAUGAUACUGUGCCUUACUGAAGCCAUGCAGAAAGGAAUCUUAAAAACUCUAAGAGUUAAGAAUAUCUUUAUUCUUCUUUAUAGGUCUGAUCUUUGAGAAUUAAUGUUUGUCUUGGGAGAUGUGCGAACCUGGGCCCACAGCUGUGGGAAAGCCAAUUAAGGGAUCCAACGUAGAGAAGACCCAGGCCCAAUCCUGGCCAUGCCUGCUUCCCGCCCCUUCCCAGAACACACUCUUGAGCACAGCUUUUUGUUUCCUUCUAUACAAUACAAUUUCGACUUUAUUUCUCCAGUCUUUCAGGACGGAAUGGCACAUACAUCCUCGUUGUCAGCAACUGCACUCUACCUACAGACUAUUACUAUUUUAUGUCCAGGGAACUUACUUGAUUAAACUGGCUUUACGCAUUGAUGUAAUCUGCCGUACUCUGGUGCCCCCUAGAGGCCGUCUACCGCUAGGCCGAGGAGAAAAAAUCCGGAAAAGCCUUUUAACCACAACUGGAGCAACUAUACUUUCGUUUAACAAAUCACUUUUUUUUUUCAAUACGAACUUCUGAUCUGGGUUUGAUAAACUAGAUUUUGUGUAAAGUACAGAUUUUCCAAGCAGGGUAGGGUGGAGCAGAAGAAAAC
rnacentral:lncRNA from 1 species